AACGCACCUUGCGCUCCUUGGUAUUCCGAGGAGCAUGCCUGUUUGAGUGUCAUUAUAUUCUCAACCCCUCUUCGGCUUUUGCUGAGCAGUGGGUUUGGAUUGUGGGGGUUUCGUGUCGGCCGCUUUCCAGGUCGACUCCCCUGAAAUGCAUUAGCGGAACGGUUUGCGGUCCCGUCACUGGUGUGAUAGUUAUCUGCGCCGCCGACGAAGAGGAUUGCUCUCUGUCUGUUCAGCUUCUAAUCUGUCUGUAGUGGACAACUUUAUGAACCCUUGACCUCAAAUCAGGUAGGACUACCCGCUGAACUUAA
rnacentral:misc_RNA from 1 species